rnacentral:rRNA from 1 species
UCUGUAGGUGAACUUAUAGAAAGGUCAUUGUUGAAACUUGUUCAACAAACAACCUAUGGAAGCGUUAACAAAACACCAAAGAGGCAAGUGUGCCUUCAUGCCCUGAGCCUUUUUGACCCUAAGUAGGGUGAUGGUCACUUCACUCUACCUCUUAGGUGGGUAAAAUGAUCGAUAUUGUCACCCAUGAUUGAAUAACAAACCCUCAACACGUUUGCCAUCACCAUCCCAUUUGCAGUGCAUGCGUGGGUAGCAUCAUUACUCCUUUUAUCAUGAAAAACCAAAAUGACUAUUGACAACAGAUAUCUUGGCUCUUGCAUUGAUGAAGAACAUAGCAAAAUAUGAUAUUUGAUGGGAAUUCUAGAACUCGUGAACCAUCGAGUCUUUGAAUGCAAGUUGCACCCCAAGCCAUUAGGCUAAGGGCAUGCCUACCUAGGUGUCAUACACUAUUACCCCCUCCAACCCCCUCUCAUCAGGUUUUGGGUAAGGGGAUAGAACAUGGCCACCUAUGAUCUCAUCGAUCAUGGUUGGCCCAAAAUUGAGUCCUUGGCAAUGAUAGCACUGUGAUCAUUGGUGGUAAAGCUCUUGGCAUGCCUUUUCUUCAGUGUCACACACUUAUUGUCUAUCCAAACCCCAUCGAAUACCCCAUAUCACUCAGUCGAUGCUCACAUCGUGGCCCUGGGUCAAGUGGGAUUACCUACUGAGUUUAAGCAUAUCAACAAAUAGAAGAAAAGAAAUUUACCAGGAUUCUUCUAGUAGUAGCGAGUGAAACAAGAAUAGCCUAACUUGAGAAUCAGGCACUCCAACAUCUGAAUUGUGGUCUAGAAAAGAGUCCUCAGUGGCAGACCAGGCCCAAGUCCCCUAAAAAGGGGCACUAGAGAUGAGAUCACCAUUGUGCCUAAACCUUGUUGCACCAUAAGAUGUUGUUUGGGAGUUAGGUUGUUUGGGAAUACAACCCCAAUUGGGUAGUAAAUUUUGUCCAAGGUCGAAUACGAGUGAGAGUCGAUAAUAAACAAAUACCAUAAGGGAAAGAUGAAAAAGACUUUGAAAAGAUAGUGAAAGAGUGCUUGAAAUUGUUGAGAAGGAAAUGGAUAAUGGCUGACGAUAUGCCCCAAUCAGGUAUGGAAUGGUAAAAACUUAUCCAUCAAUUGACUUGGUUACUGUGCCCAACUACAUGAUAACCUAGAACCUAUAAAGGGUAUUGGUCGACUAAGACAACAGGAUAAUGGUCAUGGAAGUCAAAAUAUGCUAAGAACUAUGUAAUAACUCACCUAUUGAAUCAUUAGCCCCAAAAAUGCAUAGCGCUUAAGCAUGUGACCUAUACCCAAUCUUCGGGGCAAGGGCUAGGCCUUAAUGAGUAAGAGGGUGCAAUGAUCCCUUAAAACCGGAGGAGUGAGCUAGGGUGGAGUGUCUGUCAGUGUAGAUCUUUUUCAUGGUAACAAAUAUUCGAAUGAGAACUUGAAAGGCUAAAGAGGGGAAAGGUUCCAUGUGAACGAUAGUUGCAAAAGGUUAGUCGAUUCUAAAAGAUGGGAAAAGCUCAUCUGAUAGUGUGUCUAGCAUGAACUUUGAAAGAAAAUUGAAUUAAAAUUUUUGAACCAAAAUAUAAAGGCUAAUAGCAACGUUAAAGAGUCUAGAGACAUCGAUAGGGGCAUCAAAAAGAGUUAUCUUUUCUAUUUAAUGGCCUACCCACCUUGAAAAUGGCUCAGCUAGAGGUAAGGUCUAGUGGCCAGAAGAGCACUGCACAUCACAUGGUAUCUAGUGCACCAUUGGUAGCCUUUGAAAAUUUAGAGGACCGAUGCCAUCUAUGCCUGGUCGUACUCAUAACUACAGUAAGUUCCAAGGUGAAUAGCGUAUGGUUAAUAGAACAAUGUUGGUAAAGGAAGUUAGCAAAAUGGAUUUGUAACCUCAGGAAAAAGGAUUGGCUUUAAGGGCUAGGCACAAAGGUCCUAAUCUCAAACCCGUCAACUAUCGAUGCACUGCUCGAGCUUCUCCCACAGUAAAAAUGGGUCAUUGUAUGCUGGCCGGGGAUGGACUAGGAAUGGCUCAUUAGAGGGCCUUUCUCAGACGGUGAAUAGUCAACUUAGAACUAGUAUAGAUAAGGGGAAUCCAAUUAUUUAAUUAAAACAAAGCAUUUCUAAUGGCCCCUAUGGAUGUUUAUGAAAUGUGAUUUUUGCAUAAUGCUAUAAAUGUCAAAGUGAAGAAAUUUAACCAAGUACGAGUAAGUGGCAAAUGUAACUAUGACUCUCUUAAGGUAGCGAAAUGAUUCAUUAUCUAAUUAGUGACGUACAUGAAUGGAUUAAUGAGAUUCCCACUAUCCUUGUCUACUAUCUAGCAAAAUCAUGCCAAGGGAACAGGCUUGGUAGAAGUAAUAAGGAAAGAAGACCUUGUUGAGCUUGGCAUUAAUUUGACUUUAUGAAAUGACUAGAGAGGUGUAGGAUAAGUGAAAGCCUUUAGGCAAAAUUGAAAUACCACAACUUUUAACAUUAUUUUACUUAUUUCAUGAAUAGAAGGUAGGCCAUGACCCUUUUUUUUGGACCCAAGGCCGACCUUGGUCGGUUGAUCUUAGUAGAUGAUACUAUUACAUAGGGAGUUUGGCUGGGAUGGCAUAUUUGUUAAAAGAAAACAUAUGUGUCCUAAGAUGAGCUUAACGAGAAUAGAAAACUGAUGUGGAACAAAAGGGUAAAAGCUCAUUUGAUUCUAAUUUCAAGUACAAAUAUGAAUCAUGAAAGCAUGGCCUAUCGAUUCUUUAGACCUUUGAAAUUUGAAGCUAGAGGUGUAAGAAAAGUUACUAUAAGGAUAACUGGCUUGCGGUAGCCAAGCGUUCCUAGCGACGUUGCUUUUUGAUCCUUUGAUGUUAGCUCUUCCUAUCAUUGUGAAGCAUAAUUCAUCAAGUGUUGGAUUUUUCACUCACCAAUAGAAAAUGUGAGAUGGGUUUAGAUAGUUGUGAGACAAUUAGUUUUACCUUAUUAAUGGUAGCAUUGCAAGAGCAAUUCUACCUAGUAUGAGAGGAACCAUUAGUUAGCACAAUUGGUCAUCUCACUUGGUUGAAAAGCUAGUAGCGUGAAGCUACCAUGUGCUAGAUUAUGACUGAAUGCCUCUAAGUUAGAAUUCAGGCUAAAAGUGACACAUGCACCCAUUGCCCAAUUGCUGAUCAGUAGUAGGGGCCCAUGGCCCCCAAAGGCAUAAGUCAUAGGUGCAACCCCUAAGGUAAACAAGCCACACGGGAUUUCUUGGAGCUCAAUUCCCAUCAAACGAUGAGUAGAAUCC